CCAAGCUAGAGGAGCUGCAGCCUGAAGUUAAACAUAAAGCCAUUCAAUAUAAGUGUAUGUAUCUAUUUCGUGGUAUAGAAAGACUCAGUUCAGUGAACCCAGGACAUCGGCAUGUUAUAAUUUCCUCUUGCUCCAGCAGGAAACACCCUGAAGAAUAACACCUAAAACUGCUCCCAUGGAGGCAGAAGCUGCAGUGCUGGCUAACCGAAAGGGCUGAUCCAUCACACACCAAUUGCCACUUUCUUCCCACCAGAUAUUGGCUUCUUGGGCAGAGUAGGAUUUGGCAUUCAUUGUUACAACAGUUAUUAUUCCAAAGGAGCUCAUGAUUUGGGACUGAACGAUGUUGAUGACGGAU